rnacentral:rRNA from 1 species
UUAAGCGACUAAGCGUACACGGUGGAUGCCCUGGCAGUCAGAGGCGAUGAAGGACGUGCUAAUCUGCGAUAAGCGUCGGUGAGGUGAUAUGAACCGUUAUAACCGGCGAUUUCCGAAUGGGGAAACCCAGUGUGUUUCGACACACUAUCAUUAACUGAAUCCAUAGGUUAAUGAGGCGAACCGGGGGAACUGAAACAUCUAAGUACCCCGAGGAAAAGAAAUCAACCGAGAUUCCCCCAGUAGCGGCGAGCGAACGGGGAGGAGCCCAGAGCCUGAAUCAGUGUGUGUGUUAGUGGAAGCGUCUGGAAAGGCGCGCGAUACAGGGUGACAGCCCCGUACACAAAAAUGCACAUAUUGUGAGCUCGAUGAGUAGGGCGGGACACGUGGUAUCCUGUCUGAAUAUGGGGGGACCAUCCUCCAAGGCUAAAUACUCCUGACUGACCGAUAGUGAACCAGUACCGUGAGGGAAAGGCGAAAAGAACCUCGGCGAGGGGAGUGAAAAAGAACCUGAAACCGUGUACGUACAAGCAGUGGGAGCCUCUUAAUGGGGUGACUGCGUACCUUUUGUAUAAUGGGUCAGCGACUUAUAUUCUGUAGCAAGGUUAACCGAAUAGGGGAGCCGAAGGGAAACCGAGUCUUAACUGGGCGUUAAGUUGCAGGGUAUAGACCCGAAACCCGGUGAUCUAGCCAUGGGCAGGUUGAAGGUUGGGUAACACUAACUGGAGGACCGAACCGACUAAUGUUGAAAAAUUAGCGGAUGACUUGUGGCUGGGGGUGAAAGGCCAAUCAAACCGGGAGAUAGCUGGUUCUCCCCGAAAGCUAUUUAGGUAGCGCCUCGUGAAUUCAUCUCCGGGGGUAGAGCACUGUUUCGGCAAGGGGGUCAUCCCGACUUACCAACCCGAUGCAAACUGCGAAUACCGGAGAAUGUUAUCACGGGAGACACACGGCGGGUGCUAACGUCCGUCGUGAAGAGGGAAACAACCCAGACCGCCAGCUAAGGUCCCAAAGUCAUGGUUAAGUGGGAAACGAUGUGGGAAGGCCCAGACAGCCAGGAUGUUGGCUUAGAAGCAGCCAUCAUUUAAAGAAAGCGUAAUAGCUCACUGGUCGAGUCGGCCUGCGCGGAAGAUGUAACGGGGCUAAACCAUGCACCGAAGCUGCGGCAGCGACACUAUGUGUUGUUGGGUAGGGGAGCGUUCUGUAAGCCUGUGAAGGUGGCCUGUGAGGGUUGCUGGAGGUAUCAGAAGUGCGAAUGCUGACAUAAGUAACGAUAAAGCGGGUGAAAAGCCCGCUCGCCGGAAGACCAAGGGUUCCUGUCCAACGUUAAUCGGGGCAGGGUGAGUCGACCCCUAAGGCGAGGCCGAAAGGCGUAGUCGAUGGGAAACAGGUUAAUAUUCCUGUACUUGGUGUUACUGCGAAGGGGGGACGGAGAAGGCUAUGUUGGCCGGGCGACGGUUGUCCCGGUUUAAGCGUGUAGGCUGGUUUUCCAGGCAAAUCCGGAAAAUCAAGGCUGAGGCGUGAUGACGAGGCACUACGGUGCUGAAGCGACAAAUGCCCUGCUUCCAGGAAAAGCCUCUAAGCAUCAGGUAACAUCAAAUCGUACCCCAAACCGACACAGGUGGUCAGGUAGAGAAUACCAAGGCGCUUGAGAGAACUCGGGUGAAGGAACUAGGCAAAAUGGUGCCGUAACUUCGGGAGAAGGCACGCUGAUAUGUAGGUGAAGCGACUUGCUCGUGGAGCUGAAAUCAGUCGAAGAUACCAGCUGGCUGCAACUGUUUAUUAAAAACACAGCACUGUGCAAACACGAAAGUGGACGUAUACGGUGUGACGCCUGCCCGGUGCCGGAAGGUUAAUUGAUGGGGUUAGCGGUAACGCGAAGCUCUUGAUCGAAGCCCCGGUAAACGGCGGCCGUAACUAUAACGGUCCUAAGGUAGCGAAAUUCCUUGUCGGGUAAGUUCCGACCUGCACGAAUGGCGUAAUGAUGGCCAGGCUGUCUCCACCCGAGACUCAGUGAAAUUGAACUCGCUGUGAAGAUGCAGUGUACCCGCGGCAAGACGGAAAGACCCCGUGAACCUUUACUAUAGCUUGACACUGAACAUUGAGCCUUGAUGUGUAGGAUAGGUGGGAGGCUUUGAAGUGUGGACGCCAGUCUGCAUGGAGCCGACCUUGAAAUACCACCCUUUAAUGUUUGAUGUUCUAACGUGGGCCCCUUACCGGGGUUGCGGACAGUGUCUGGUGGGUAGUUUGACUGGGGCGGUCUCCUCCUAAAGAGUAACGGAGGAGCACGAAGGUUGGCUAAUCCUGGUCGGACAUCAGGAGGUUAGUGCAAUGGCAUAAGCCAGCUUGACUGCGAGCGUGACGGCGCGAGCAGGUGCGAAAGCAGGUCAUAGUGAUCCGGUGGUUCUGAAUGGAAGGGCCAUCGCUCAACGGAUAAAAGGUACUCCGGGGAUAACAGGCUGAUACCGCCCAAGAGUUCAUAUCGACGGCGGUGUUUGGCACCUCGAUGUCGGCUCAUCACAUCCUGGGGCUGAAGUAGGUCCCAAGGGUAUGGCUGUUCGCCAUUUAAAGUGGUACGCGAGCUGGGUUUAGAACGUCGUGAGACAGUUCGGUCCCUAUCUGCCGUGGGCGCUGGAGAACUGAGGGGGGCUGCUCCUAGUACGAGAGGACCGGAGUGGACGCAUCACUGGUGUUCGGGUUGUCAUGCCAAUGGCACUGCCCGGUAGCUAAAUGCGGAAGAGAUAAGUGCUGAAAGCAUCUAAGCACGAAACUUGCCCCGAGAUGAGUUCUCCCUGACUCCUUGAGAGUCCUGAAGGAACGUUGAAGACGACGACGUUGAUAGGCCGGGUGUGUAAGCGCAGCGAUGCGUUGAGCUAACCGGUACUAAUGAACCGUGAGGCUUAACCUU